GGAUGACUGUUUGUAUCAGUUCCACCUCAUCACAAGAACACAGUGUGUGGCCAAGCUUGGAGGCCAAGCUAGGAGGAUUUGGGAUCUGAACCCAGUCAGCCCAGGUGCAGAGUUCGGCAGAGUCACAAGUUCCUUCAAGGAGCGGUGAAGUGAUGUACGCUCUGGAUGCAUGGGCUAUUCACUGCCGCAUGGUUUACGGCAGCACGCCAAGGGAAGCAACUGAAACACCUCACACCAGCCAAGAUGAAUCUCAGUCUACAGUUGACCUCAAACAUGGGUUGGAACUGUGGGGGUCCACUUAUUCCUGGAUUUCCUUCCAUCUCUGCCACUCCUGAGACAGCAAGACCAAAGCCUCCUCUUCCUCCUCCUCUGCCUACUCAAUAUAAAGAUGACCAGAAGGAAGACCCUGAUGGUGAUCCACUUCCUCUUCGUGAAUAGUAAUUAUAUAUUCUCCUCCUUAUGAUUUUCUUAA
rnacentral:lncRNA from 1 species